AUUGAACGCUGGCGGCAGGCCUAACACAUGCAAGUCGAGCGGAUGAAGGGAGCUUGCUCCUGGAUUCAGCGGCGGACGGGUGAGUAAUGCCUAGGAAUCUGCCUGGUAUUGGGGGAUAACGUCCGGAAACGGGCGCUAAUACCGCAUACGUCCUGAGGGAGAAAGUGGGGGAUCUUCGGACCUCACGCUAUCAAAUGAGCCUAGGUCGGAUUAGCUAGUUGGUGGGGUAAAGGCCUACCAAGGCGACGAUCCGUAACUGGUCUGAGAGGAUGAUCAGUCACACUGGAACUGAGACACGGUCCAGACUCCUACGGGAGGCAGCAGUGGGGAAUAUUGGACAAAGGGCGAAAGCCUGAUCCAGCCAUGCCGCGUGUGUGAAGAAGGUCUUCGGAUUGUAAAGCACUUUAAGUUGGGAGGAAGGGCAGUAAGUUAAUACCUUGCUGUUUUGACGUUACCAACAGAAUAAGCACCGGCUAACUUCGUG
rnacentral:rRNA from 1 species